UGCCCUGCGCUGAUGCAUUCAUAUCCUCUUCUAAGGCGUUAUCCCUGGAGGCUCAUUCACCGCCAGCACCUCCGCUGCCCGCAGGCAUUGCUGUCACUGUCACCGUGACGGCGCGCACGAUUUUCAGUUGGCCCGCUUCCCCUCGUGAUUAGGACAGACGCGGGCACUCUGGCCCAGCCGUCUUGGCUCAGUACUUGCAGGCGUCCGUCUCGGGACGGAGCUCGGGGGAAGAGCGUGACGUGACUCCAGUUGAACGUGAUGGUCGCCCCCAACACGGCCCCAUCGGUCUACCCUCUGGCCCCCUGCGGCAGGGACACGUCUGGCCCUAACGUGGCCUUGGGCUGCCUGGUCUCAAGCUACUUCCCCGAGCCAGUGACCGUGACCUGGAACUCGGGCGCCCUGUCCAGAGUCGUGCACACCUUCCCAUCCGUCCUGCAGCCGUCAGGGCUCUACUCCCUCAGCAGCAUGGUGACCGUGGCGGCCAACAGCCUGUCCACCCUGAGCUACACGUGCAACGUCUACCACCCGGCCACCAACACCAAGGUGGACAAGCGUGUUGACAUCGAGGACACCGUAGGCCCCGAUCCCCUCUGUCCCGAAAGUUGCUCAUGCCCAGCUGCAGAGGUCCUGGGAGCACCUUCGGUCUUCCUCUUCCCUCCAAAACCCAAGGACACCCUCAUGAUCUCCCGGACACCCCAGGUCACGUGCGUGGUGGUGGACGUGAGCCAGGAGGAGGCUGAAGUCCAGUUCUCCUGGUACGUGGACGGCAUACAGUUGUACACGGCCCAGACGAGGCCGAUGGAGGAGCAGUUCAACAGCACCUACCGCGUGGUCAGCGUCCUGCCCAUCCAGCACCAGGACUGGCUGAAGGGGAAGGAGUUCAAGUGCAAGGUCAACAACAAAGACCUCCUUUCCCCCAUCACGAGGACCAUCUCCAAGGCUACAGGGCCGAGCCGGGUGCCGCAGGUGUACACCCUGCCCCCAGCCUGGGAAGAGCUGUCCAGGAGCAAAGUCAGCAUAACCUGCCUGGUCACUGGCUUCUACCCACCUGACAUCGAUGUCGAGUGGCAAAGCAACGGACAACAAGAGCCAGAAGGCAAUUACCGCACCACCCCGCCCCAGCAGGACAUGGACGGGACCUACUUCCUGUACAGCAAGCUCGCGGUGGACAAGCUCAGGUGGCAGCGUGGAGACCUAUUCCAGUGUGCGGUGAUGCACGAGGCUCUGCACAACCACUACACCCAGAAGUCCGUCUCCCAGACUCCGGAACUGCUCCUGGAGGAGAGCUGUGCCGACGCCCAGGACGGGGAGCUGGACGGGCUCUGGACCACCAUCUCCAUCUUCAUCACGCUCUUCCUGCUCAGCGUGUGCUACAGCGCCACCGUGACGCUCUUCAAGGUGAAGUGGAUCUUCUCGCCGGUGGUGGAGCUGAAGCGCACCAUUGUCCCCGACUACAGAAACAUGAUCGGGCAGGGGGCCUAGGGCGCCCUCCAGGGCGGCCAGGGCCGCCCCACACCCGACAGGACCGCGUCCGUCAGCUCAAGCUGCUCCGCCUGCGCCAGGCCUGCCUCCGCCCUCUGACCUCGCCCGCACCUCUGGCUCUCGGCCACCUGGCCCGCACCUCCGCCCUCGGGCCUGGCGGCCCCCUCAGAAGGCGCCCCGCACCCCCACCACCCCUCGGAAGCCCGAGUGGGCAGCAGCUCGGGCCCCGACCUGACUUGAUGGACACCCACCACCACCAGCCACCGCCAGAGCCACGGGACACCGCCGGGGCCACAUGUCCUCACCAGGAACGCCCGGCUCAGCCAGCGGGUCCAGCCGGCCACGAGGAGACCGGCGUCCAGCGGCUGACGGGACAGGGCCCGGGCUCCCUGUGGACCCCGUCCAGACCGGGCUCCAGAGGCAGGGCCCCCGAGAGGAGGCUCCUGUGUCACAGCCUGGAGUGGGAACAGCUGCCCCCAACGCCAGCGUCUCCCAGCGGGGAAGUUCCCAGACGGGCCACCAACAGGCGCUCAGGUCACCUCCAGCCCAGGGCACUCGAGGGAAGAGGACCUGGGCCCGAGGCCACGGCAGGAGCCCCGGUGGGGACAGAGCAGCCCUGCCCAGGGAAGCGGUGAGGUGCCGCCAGACUGGCCUCCUGGAGGGGGUCCCGCUGGCUCGGACCCCCGCGGGCAGGACGGGCCUUCGCUGGACACAGGCAGGGGUGGCGGGUCCGCACAGGGUACAGGGCAGCCAGCCCAUCCCAAGGUACGAGGCCUGAGACCCGUCCAUCCGCCUAUCCAUCCAUCCAUCCUUCCAUCCAGCAGGAGCUCCUUCUGCCUGCCCCGGGGCCUGGGUGAGAGGUGAAGAACCCCCAGGAGCGAGCCCCAGGCCCCGGACCCCCCAAGCCGGCCCCGCACUGACUCUCCCGCCCUGUCUCUACGGGAACCCCAAGUGGGUUCAUGGCAUCCGGGGAGCAGCCUCGGGACUGGGAGGGAAGGCUCAUCUGCCAAGCUGUGGUCGCUCUUUCUCCUUGGUGAGUGUCUGGAGCCCAGACACUCUCCUCACUGUUGCUCUCAUUUUUCACGGCAAUAAACCACUUUUACAACCCCUCAGCUCA